UUAAGCGAAGAAGAGCGCAGGGUGGAUGCCUUGGCACUGAGAGCCGAUGAAAGACGUGAUAAGCUGCGAAAAGCCAUGGGGAGGUGCAAAUGACCCUUGAUCCAUGGAUAUCUGAAUGGGGAAACCUACAUGAGCAUACCUCAUGUGGCCUGUACUGAAUCCAUAGGUGCAGGCCGGGAACCCGGUGAACUGAAACAUCUAAGUAGCCGGAGGAAGAGAAAGAAAAUAUUCGAUUUCCAAAGUAGCGGCGAGCGAAAUGGAAAGAGCCCAAACCGGUGUGCGUGCACACCGGGGUUCGGACUGCAUGACUGAUCCACGAUCCCAGCAGAACGGUACUGGAAAGACCGGCGGUAAAGGGUGAGAGCCCCGUAAGCGAAGGGAGAAGGGACAGGGCAGUAUCCAGAGUACUACGAGACACGAGAAACCUUGUAGGAAUGAGCGGGGACCACCCCGUAAGGCUAAAUACUACUCAGUGACCGAUAGAGCAUAGUACUGUGAAGGAAAGGUGAAAAGGACCCCGGGAGGGGAGUGAAAGAGAACCUGAAACCCUGUGUUUACAAGCUGUGGAAGUACUUUAUAUGUACGACCGCGUACUUUUUGUAGAACGGUCCGGCGAGCUGCGGAUGCUGGCGAGGUUAAGCACUGAAGGUGCGGAGCCGAAGGGAAACCAUGUCUGAACAGGGCGUCAACAUCUCCUAUGGAGAUGCAGUCAGUAUACGCAGACCCGAAACCGGGUGAUCUAUCCAUGUCCAGGAUGAAGUUGCCGUAAAAGGCAGUGGAGGUCCGAACGCACAUCCGUUGAAAAGGGUGGCGAUGAGGUGUGGAUAGGGGAGAAAUUCCAAUCGAACCCGGAGAUAGCUGGUUCUCCUCGAAAUAGCUUUAGGGCUAGCCUCGUGAGAGUCAGGCGGAGGUAGAGCACUGAAUACCCGAGGGGGCGUCAAAGCUUACCAAAGGUUAUCAAACUCCGAAUGCCGCGCUGAUGCUUCACGGGAGUCAGACUACACGAGAUAAGUUGGGUGGUCAAAAGGGAAACAGCCCAGACCUGCAGCUAAGGUCCCAAAGUGCGUGUUAAGUGGAAAAGGAUGUGGGAUUUCGAAGACAACCAGGAUGUUGGCUCAGAAGCAGCCACACAUUCAAAGAGUGCGUAAUAGCUCACUGGUCGAGAGGUCCUGCGCCGAAAAUGUCCGGGGCUCAAACACGCCACCGAAGCUCAGGAAUGUAUGUAAAUACAUUGGUAGAGGAGCAUUGUCAGUGCACUGAAGCUGUACCGGUAAGGAGCAGUGGAGCGCUGAGAAGAGAGAAUGCCGGAAUGAGUAGCGAGAAAGAGGUGAGAAUCCUCUUGGCCGAAUAUCCAAGGAUUCCGGGGUAAAGCUGAUCUGCCCCGGGUAAGUCGGGACCUAAGGCGAGGCAGAAAUGCGUAGCCGAUGGACAGCAGGUGGAGAUUCCUGCACUGCCAUAUAUCAGAAAUGUGGGGACGCAUCAGGAAAGUGUGGGCCGGGAAAGGAAAGACCGGUGCAAGCGGAGGAGGGGACAUGCAGGCAAAUCCGCAUGUCAACCCAAGAGCGUUAUGCGGAGCGAAGAAUAGUAGCGAAGCACACGGACAGGGUGCCGAGAAAAGCCGCUAUCGUGUAUAUGGUACCCGUACCGUAAACCGACACAGGUGGAUGAGGAGAGAAUCCUAAGGCCGGCGGGAGAAGCAUUGUUAAGGAACUCGGCAAAAUGACCCCGUAACUUCGGGAGAAGGGGUGCCACAGAGAUGUGGCCGCAGAGAAUAGGCUCAAGCAACUGUUUAGCAAAAACACAGGUCUAUGCGAAACCGAAAGGUGAGGUAUAUGGGCUGACGCCUGCCCGGUGCUGGAAGGUUAAGAGGAGAGGUCAGGAAACGAAGCCUUGAAUUGAAGCCCCAGUAAACGGCGGCCGUAACUAUAACGGUCCUAAGGUAGCGAAAUUCCUUGUCGGGUAAGUUCCGACCCGCACGAAAGGCGUAAUGAUUUGAGCGCUGUCUCGACAAUGCAUCCGGUGAAAUUGAAGUACCAGUGAAGAUGCUGGUUACCCGCGCCAGGACGGAAAGACCCCAUGGAGCUUUACUCCAGCUUGAUACUGGGAUCCGGUGUCCAAUGUACAGGAUAGGUGGGAGGCUGAGAGCCAUGAACGCAAGUUUAUGGGGAGCCGCUGUUGGGAUACCACCCUUUGGGUACUGGAUUUCUAACCUGCGCCCGUGACCCGGGCGGGGGACAAUGUCUGGCGGGGAGUUUGACUGGGGCGGUCGCCUCCGAAAGGGUAUCGGAGGCGCUCAAAGGU
rnacentral:rRNA from 1 species